rnacentral:rRNA from 1 species
UCUGGCAGUUUUAGCGCGGUGGUCCCACCUGAUCCCAUUCCGAACUCAGAAGUGAAAUGUCGUAGUGCCGAUGGUAGUGUGGGGUUUCCCCAUGUGAGAGUAGGGAAUUGUCAGAC